UACGGAGGGUGCAAGCGUUAUCCGGAUUCACUGGGUUUAAAGGGUGCGUAGGCGGGCAUGUAAGUCAGUGGUGAAAUCUCAGAGCUUAACUCUGAAACUGCCAUUGAUACUAUGUGUCUUGAAUUUCCUGGAGGUUAGCGGAAUAUGUCACGUAGCGGUGAAAUGCUUAGAUAUGACAUAGAACACCGAUUGCGAAGGCAGCUGACUACGGGUAGAUUGACGCUGAGGCACGAAAGCGUGGGGAUCAAACAGG
rnacentral:rRNA from 1 species